CACGUAGGGCGCAAGCGUUGUCCGGAAUUAUUGGGCGUAAAGAGCUCGUAGGCGGUCUGUUGCGUCCGCUGUGAAAACUCGGGGCUUAACCCCGAGCCUGCAGUGGAUACGGGCAGACUAGAGGUAGGUAGGGGAGAAUGGAAUUCCCGGUGUAGCGGUGAAAAUGCGCAGAUAUCAGGAAGAACACCAAUGGCGAAAGCAGCUUUCUGGGACGGUACUGACGCUGAGACGCGAAAGCGUGGGGAGCGAACAGG
rnacentral:rRNA from 1 species